rnacentral:rRNA from 1 species
GGGGGAAUAUUGGGGCAAUGGGGCGAAAGCCUGACCCAGCAACGCCGCGUGAGGGAAGAAGGGUUUCGGCUCGUAAACCUCUGUCCUAUGGGACGAAGGAAGUGACGGUACCAUAGGAGGAAGCCCCGGCUAACUACGUGCCAGCAGCCGCGGUAAUACGUAGGGGGCAAGCGUUAUCCGGAUUUACUGGGUGUAAAGGGAGCGUAGACGGCAAGACAAGUCUGAAGUGAAAUGCGGGGGCUCAACCCCUGAACUGCUUUGGAAACUGUGUAGCUAGAGUGCAGGAGAGGUAAGUGGAAUUCCUAGUGUAGCGGUGAAAUGCGUAGAUAUUAGGAGGAACACCAGUGGCGAAGGCGGCUUACUGGACUGUAACUGACGUUGAGGCUCGAAAGCGUGGGGAGCAAACAGGAUUAGAUACCCUGGUAGU